rnacentral:rRNA from 1 species
AUUGAACGCUGGCGGCAGGCCUAACACAUGCAAGUCGAACGGUAACAGGAAGAAGCUUGCUUCUUUGCUGACGAGUGGCGGACGGGUGAGUAAUGUCUGGGAAACUGCCUGAUGGAGGGGGAUAACUACUGGAAACGGUAGCUAAUACCGCAUAACGUCGCAAGACCAAAGAGGGGGACCUUCGGGCCUCUUGCCAUCGGAUGUGCCCAGAUGGGAUUAGCUAGUAGGUGGGGUAACGGCUCACCUAGGCGACGAUCCGUAGCUGGUCUGAGAGGAUGACCAGCCACACUGGAACUGAGACACGGUCCAGACUCCUACGGGAGGCAGCAGUGGGGAAUAUUGCACAAUGGGCGCAAGCCUGAUGCAGCCAUGCCGCGUGUAUGAAGAAGGCCUUCGGGUUGUAAAGUACUUUCAGCGGGGAGGAAGGGAGUAAAGUUAAUACCUUUGCUCAUUGACGUUACCCGCAGAAGAAGCACCGGCUAACUCCGUG